rnacentral:rRNA from 1 species
AUUGAACGCUGGCGGCAGGCCUAACACAUGCAAGUCGAACGAGUGGCGGACGGGUGAGUAAUGUCUGGGAAACUGCCCGAUGGAGGGGGAUCACUACUGGAAACGGUAGCUAAUACCGCAUACCAUCGGCUUUGCCCCGAUGGGAUUAGCUAGGAGGUGGGGUAACGGCUCACCUAGGCGACGAUCCCUAGCUGGUCUGAGAGGAUGACCAGCAACACUGGAAAUGAGACACGGUCCAUACUCCUACGGGAGGCAGCAGUGGGGAAUAUUGCACAAUGGGCGAAAGCCUGAUGCAGCCAUGCCGCGUGUAUGAAGAAGGCCUUCGGGUUGUAAAGUACUUUCAGCGAGGAGGCGUUACUCGCAGAAGAAGCACCGGCUAACUCCGUGCCAGCCGCCGCGGUAAUAC